AACGUAGGUGGCAAGCGUUAUCCGGAUUUACUGGGCGUAAAGCGUGUGCAGGCGGGUGGACAAUUGGUGUAUUAAAUCGCCAGGCUAAACCUGGCGGGGUUAUGCCAGACUGUUUAUCUGGAGUGCGAGAGAGGGGCGUGGAAUUCCGGGUGUAGUGGUGAAAUGCGUAGAGAUCCGGAGGAACCCCAGAGGCGAAGGCGGCGCCCUGGCUCGCAACUGACGCUCAGACACGACAGCAUGGGGAGCGAACGGG
rnacentral:rRNA from 1 species